GGGAAUUUUGCGCAAUGGGGGAAACCCUGACGCAGCAACGCCGCGUGGAGGAUGAAAUCCCUUGGGAUGUAAACUCCUUUCGAUCGGGACGAUAAUGACGGUACCGAUAGAAGAAGCCCCGGCUAACUUCGUGCCAGCAGCCGCGGUAAUACGAGGGGGGCAAGCGUUGUUCGGAAUUAUUGGGCGUAAAGGGUGCGUAGGCGGUUUGAUAAGUCUUGUGUGAAAUCUAUGGGCUCAACCCAUAGUCUGCACAGGAAACUGUCGGGCUUGAGAGUGGGAGAGGUGAGUGGAAUUUCCGGUGUAGCGGUGAAAUGCGUAGAUAUCGGAAGGAACACCUGUGGCGAAAGCGGCUCACUGGACCAUUUCUGACGCUGAUGCACGAAAGCUAGGGGAGCAAACA
rnacentral:rRNA from 1 species